GAUGAAGAACGUAGCGAAAUGCGAUAAGUAGUGUGAAUUGCAGAAUUCAGUGAAUCAUCGAAUCUUUGAACGCACAUUGCGCCUUCUAGUAUUCUGGGAGGCAUGCCUGUUUGAGCGUCAUUAAACCUCUCUCAAGUAUGAUUACUUGGAUGUGAAGGAAGAGUACCUUAAACUUAAGGAGUGUUCUCCUUUGAAAUUGAUAGCAGAUGGUAAUGUUAUUAAAUCCCUGAUGUUGUAAGAAAUAACAGUGGUUUUGUAGACUAUUAUCUAGCUUUAAAUUAUAAUUUUUAUUAUGGUUGACCUCAAAUCAGGUAAGGAUACCCGCUGAACUUAAGCAUAUCAAUAAGCGGAGGA
rnacentral:misc_RNA from 1 species